rnacentral:rRNA from 1 species
UAAAGCGCCUAGGCCUAACACAUGCAAGUCGAGGGCUAGAUUGAAGGUUGCUUGCAAACUUUGAUGGCGACCGGCGCACGGGUGAGUAACGCGUAUCCAACCUGGCCCUUAUGCUACCGGGAUAGCCCGGCGAAAGUCGGAUUAAUACCCUAUGUUUUCCUAUGAGGACAUCUGAGCAGGAACAAAGAUUUAUCGCUAAGGGAUGGGGAUGCGUCUGAUUAGCUUGUCGGCGGGGUAACGGCCCACCGAGGCGACGAUCAGUAUGGGUUUCUGAGAGGAAGGUCCCCCACAUUGGUACUGAGACACGGACCAAACUCCUACGGGAGGCAGCAGUGAGGAAUAUUGGUCAAUGGGCGAGAAAACGACCCAGCCAAGUAGCGUGCAGGAUGACUGCCCUAUGGGUUGUAAACUGCUUUUAUGCGGGAUUUAAGUGCAUCACGUGUGGUGUUUUGCAUGUACCGCAUGAAUAAGGACCGGCUAAUUCCGUGCCAGCAGCCGCGGUAAUACGGAAGGUCCGGGCGUUAUCCGGAUUUAUUGGGUUUAAAGGGAGCGCAG